rnacentral:misc_RNA from 1 species
GAUGAAGAACGCAGCGAAAUGCGAUACUUGGUGUGAAUUGCAGAAUCCCGUGAACCAUCGAGUCUUUGAACGCAAGUUGCGCCCGAAGCCAUUAGGCCGAGGGCACGCCUGCCUGGGCGUCACACGUCGUUGCCCCCCCCAUCUACUCCUUCGGGAUUGCGGGGGGCGGAUGAUGGCCUCCCGUGCGCCUCGCCGCGCGGUUGGCAUAAAUGCCAAGUCCUCGGCGACGCACGCCACGACAAUCGGUGGUUGCGAAACCUCGGUUGCCCGUCGUGUGCGGUCGUCGCGCAUCGAGGGCUCGACAACAUUGCCGAGUUCCGGCUCGGCUUUCAACGCGACCCCAGGUCAGGCGGGGUUACCCGCUGAAUUUAAGCAUAUCAAUAAGCGGAGGA